rnacentral:lncRNA from 1 species
AGAGUCUUAUAUUUUAAAAAAUUAUGAUGUAUGAUAAUGUCAUUUUAACAAGUUAAAUUCUAAAUUAUGAUUAGUAAAUGAUAAUUAAUGAAUUUAAUUCUAAAUUAGGAUUAGUUUAAUUCUAAAAUUUUGGUCCAAGCCUUUCAGCCCAACCGAAUCCUAUGCAGCUCAAAUUUGAGCCAAGCCUAUGGUCCACAAGGAACAUGAAGUUUCAAGGUACAAGAACAAGGACUCAAUUACAAGUGCUGUUAAAUCUUAUAUCUUAUGUCAUUAUUGGAUUAAAAUCAUUUGGUUAUUUUAGCAAGGUGCAUAUCUCAAUUGGUUGAACAUUGGUCAUUAAUUAUACAAAUUAAUUAGGGUCAAUUCAUGUGCUGGGAGUCAAUCCACAUGCAACAAUAUUGCAUUCCAUGUGAACAAUGGUCAGUAGUCCACAACAAUCCACAUGGCAACAAUACCCCAUCACAACCUCAAUGGUUAGUAGUCCACAGCCUUUCCAUCAUCACUGCAUGGCAGAAGAGGAGGAGAGGCACCAUCAACUUCUUCCACCACCACAAGGAUGAGAGCUCUGGGUUGCUGCUGCUGGUGCUCAUCCCCUGCCUGGCAUUUCACCACUAGUUUAAGUUAGUUGAAUGGGAGGGCGUAAUAUAUUUCCACUCCAUCAAUCAUCUUAAAAUUGGAAAUUAUAGGAACAAAAGGAAAGGAAACUAGAAAAUGAAUCUGGACUUUGGGAAUCUAAGUUGGCUUACUUGUCACUUCCAUUAGAUAUCUUCUCUUCAGAGUUCAAUGUCAAGUGGAGGAGAUGCAUCAGAAGCCAAAACUAGGAUGGAAUGAGCCAACUUUGUGCCUGUUCAGAUGUGUUCUAUUUGAUACUAGUUCUACCCUUUUUUUAUACCUCAAACGUGGAAUCAAGUUGGGAAAAGUAGUUUUCUCUUGAUACCUCUUAAGCUUUCUUUCUCUUCAUUAAUGAUACAGAAACAAAUUGAUCAGUAUUUUGUAUGUUGGUGAAGAAAGUUAAAUAUGUUCUUGGGAUGAUUUGUAAUUGCAGGUGUUAACCCUGAUCGUGGCUCAGUGGAGCUCCUGUUAACUACUGAGGCGCUCUCUAGUCUCACUCUUUUGUUAUCCAAUCCAUAUUCACAACACUAUGAGAGGCCACGCCUUUUGUUCUUUGACCUGCACAUUGUUCCUCAUCUUCUGCUUUUACUGUCUCUUAUUUUCUUUUAACCCUUUUCUGAUUUGUUUAUUUAUGUUGAUUACUGUGAGAUGUCUAUCUGGCUCUCUUUCGAGAAUUGAUAAUGGGUUCUUUUUACUUUUCCCUAGUCCUAAGGUAGUCGAGAUAUUAGAAAUAUAGUUUGGAAUCUUGUUAACAUGAAAUUUUUGAAGGACUCUACGUGCCAGAAUUGACCCUUUCUAUCCUGUUUUUAUGAAUCUUAUUACGUUUGUAUUCAGAAAGUAGUUUACUUUAAAGGCUGUGGAAGGUUGGCCAAGAAAAUGAAGCAGGGAUGAUGGUUGAUCAGGAAAGAUAUGAAUCUUAUUACGUUGGUAUUCAGAAAGUAGUUUACUUUAAAGGCUGGAAGGUUGGCCAAGAAAAUGAAGAAGGGAUGAUGGUUGAUCAGGAAAGAUAUCCGCCUAGGGAGCCUUAUCCAGAGCACAUGAGAUGGUUUGUUUGGAUGUGAGAUUCUCCCACGUCUCAUAAGAGUCCCAAGUCUUCGUUUGAUGUUUCUUGUAAAAUAAACUUUGCUUAACAUUAUACUUUCCAGUUCCAUUUGAUGCUAAAGUCAAUGUCUAUUAGUCUCAAAUGAAAAAGACAUGAGGAUUAAGAAGUUCAAAAUGAGUUGUAGGAGUUAAACCUAUGAAUGUUUUUAAUAACAUUGAAGUUAC